CAAUUAGGUCAAAAACUCUAUUUUAUUUUUUGGUGUAGAUGGCCAAGGAAGUUGCACAGAACUUCCAACAUCCCGUCCCAAAUUGAUAUAGAACCUUCACAAAAAUACACGGAGCAACUGCGAAAACAAAUGGCUGAGUUCAACAAAGCCAAAAACUGCUUCAUGUGUGCCACUGAGAAAUAACCUGAAUGUGUCCCAAAGACUGACUGGAUUGAAUGUUUUUCAUGCCAACGGUGGUUCCAUGUGCUGUGCCUAGGAAUGAAGUCAAGAGUUCAACAGGGUAAAGAACAGAAACUGCUGCCUAUUGUUGAAAAUGUCUGCUAUACCCCAUCCACACUGAAGAGGCUCUGAAAUGUACAUCAACCAGGGAUAAAGAGAAAGUUAACACUGAAAUGUUUCGUACUUAUUUGAAGUAAAGUUCUGUUGACAUGUUGGAAAA
rnacentral:lncRNA from 1 species